AUUGAACGCUGGCGGCAUGCCUUACACAUGCAAGUCGAACGGCAGCACGGGUGCUUGCACCUGGUGGCGAGUGGCGCACGGGUGAGUAAUACAUCGGAACAUGUCCUGUAGUGGGGGAUAGCCCGGCGAAAGCCGGCUUAAUACCGCAUACGAUCUACGGCUGAAAGCGGGGGACCUUCGGGCCUCGCGCUUUAGGGUUGGCCGAUGGCUGAUUAGCUAGUUGGUGGGGUAAAGGCCUACCAAGGCGACGAUCGGUAGCUGGCCUGAGAGGACGACCAGCCACACUGGGACUGAGACACGGCCCAGACUCCUACGGGAGGCAGCAGUGGGGAAUGGUGGACAAUGGGCGAAAGCCUGAUCCAGCAAUGCCGCGUGUGUGAAAAAGGCCUUCGGGUUGUAAAGCACUUUUGUCCGGAAAGAAAUCCUUGGCCCUAAGACGGUCGGGGGAUGACGGUACCGGAAGAAUAGGCACCGGCUAACUACGUG
rnacentral:rRNA from 1 species